GUCCACGCCGUAAAACGAUGGAUGCUAGUCGUCGCGGGUAUUGACCCCUGCGGCAACGAAGUUAACGCAUUAAGCAUCCCGCCUGGGGAGUACGGCCGCAAGGCUAAAAACUCAAAGGAAUUGACGGGGGCCCCGCACAAGCGGUGGAGCAUGUGGUUCAAUUCGACGCAACGCGCAGAACCUUACCUGGGUUAAAAUCCACUCGAACCUGCUGGAGACAGUGGGGUGCUCGCAAGAGAGCGAGUGAGAAGGUGCUGCAUGGCUGUCGU
rnacentral:rRNA from 1 species